AGCAGCCGCGGUAAUUCCAGCUCCAAUAGCGUAUAUUAAAGUUGUUGCAGUUAAAAAGCUCGUAGUUGAAUUUCGGGGUUAAUAAGUUGGUCGUACCUAUGGUAUGUACUGGCUUUAUUGAUUCCUACCUCUUGACGAACUGUGAUGCCAUUAAUUUGGUGUUGCAAGGAAUCAGGACUGUUACCUUGAAAAAAUUAGAGUGUUUAAAGCAGGCUUACGCUUGAAUACAUUAGCAUGGAAUAAUGAAAUAGGACGUUUGAACCUAUUUUGUUGGUUUCUAGGAUCGACGUAAUGAUUAAUAGGGAUAGUUGGGGGCAUUAGUACUCAAUUGUCAGAGGUGAAAUUCUUGGAUUUAUUGAAGACUAACUACUGCGAAAGCAUUUGCCAAGGAUGUUUUCAUUAAUCAAGAACGAAAGUUAGGGGAUCGAAGACGAUCAGAUACCGUCGUAGUCUUAACCAUAAACUAUGCCGACUAGGGAUCGGGUGAUGUUAAUUUUUUUAAUGUACUCAUUCGGCGCCU
rnacentral:rRNA from 1 species